GUGGAUGUGGCGAAGUGGUUAACGCACCGGAUUGUGGCUCCGGCACUCGUGGGUUCAAGUCCCAUCAUUCACCCCA
rnacentral:tRNA from 9 species